rnacentral:rRNA from 1 species
GAUGAACGCUGGCGGCGUGCCUAAUACAUGCAAGUCGAGCGAACGGACGGGAAGCUUGCCUCUCUGAUGUUAGCGACGGACGGGUGAGUCACACGUGUAUAACCUAUCUAUAAGACUGGGAUAACUUCGUGAAACCGGAGCUAAUACCGUAUAAUAUUUUGAACCUCAUGGUUCAAAAGUGAAAGACGGUCUUGCUGUCACUUAUUGAUAGAUCCGCGCUGCAUUAGCUAGUUGGUAAGGUAACGGCUUACCAAGGCAACGAUGCAUAGCCGAACUGAGAGGGUGAUCAGCCACACUGGAACUGAGACACGGUCCAGACUCCUACGGGAGGCAGCAGUAGGGAAUCUUCCGCAAUGGGCGCAAGCCUGACGGAGCAACGCCGCGUGAGUGAUGAAGGUCUUCGGAUCGUAAAACUCUGUUAUUAGGGAAGAACAUAUGUGUAAGUACCUGUGCACAUCUUGACGGUACCUAAUCAGAAAGCCACGGCUAACUUCGUG